CACUCUCAGCCCAGAGCCUGACAAGGGGCUCGAUCUCACAACCCUGGGAUCAUGACCUGAGCAUGAGUCGGACUCUCAACUGACUGAGCCACUUAGGGGCCCCUGAACUCUUUAUCACAUGUAGAUAGUAGAUCUAAAGCUUAAGAAACUCUGUAUACAUAAGUUUCAUUUGCAAUCAGUAGCUAUAAUUUUUUCCAUUAAUUGAAAUAUGAACAUUUAUAGUUCUCUAUUUUUGUAAAAAGAAAAAAAUUUUCCUUAAAGACAAGGAAGCCUUAAAUUAGGAAUUUUGGAGGCAUCUUUCAUUUGAGAAUCUGAAUCAGAAACAAUGAUGAAUUGUUUUCCCCUCAUAGUCAAAAUAUUUGUGCUAAAUUUUGUCUGUGUCAAGAAUUAGAAGGUGGAUUUUCAUUUGCUGGAUCUUUUUUUUUUUUUUUUUUUAAUGUUUAUUUUUGUGAGAGAGAGGGUGAGAGCGCAAGUGAGGCAGGGGCAAAGAGAGGGGGACAGAGGAUCCAAAGCGGGCUCAGCGCUGAAAGCAGCAAACCCAACGUGGGGUUCGAACUCACAAACUGCAAGAUCAUGACCUGAGCCGAAGUCAGACGCUCAAGCGACUGAGCCACCCAGAUCCCCCGCGUGGGAUCUUUUUAGUAUAUGUAUCUAUGGGUUAAGAAGGAGGUCCAAGAAUAUUUUUAAAAAAGAUAAAGCUAUAGCUGAGCCAGCAUUUAUCCUUAUGGAUAUGCAUACCCCUUCUAAAGAAAAUAAAAGUUUGACAAUUACGGAGUCAGGCCACUUGCUAAGAAUAUUCAUUGCCUAUUUUUCCUUGUGAUAAAACUGUUUUCCUCUUUUCCUUAUUUCAUGCAUAGAAUGAGCCAAAAACGCUGAAUUUUCACAUGGAAGUGGUGUGAGUCCACAAAGGAAGGAAGAGUUAUGAUUAGAUCCACGACCUUGGUGCUUAGAGGAUUGGUAACAACACAAGGGCUCUUUCAAGCACCCUCCAACCCAGUCAAGUAUCGUUCAUGAACAGACUGCCUAAUAUAUUUAAUAGAUCACCUUCCAUACCUCCUUUAUUGUAUUUACAUUCUUGAGGAAAAGAUAUAUUGCUUGCUUGUAAAAUCAAAUGAAUAGACUUUCAGUGUCUAUUUUGUUCUAUUUCCUACUUUUUCACACAAUUACAUUUUUGAAAUCCAUCCACGUUGCUAACGUGUGUCAAUAUCCUUUCCGCAGUAUAUGAUUUCCUCAUAUGCAUAUCCCACAUUUUACUUAUCUGUUAUUAAUGAACACUGGGAUUACUUCUAACUCUUCUCCUUAUAAAUAAACAAAUACUAGGAAGAUCUCCCCAUACACAUCACUCUGUGCACACUUGAGAGUUCCCUAGCAAAUAAUAUAACCAAAAUGGCAAGUGAAUCAUAAAAUAUAGUCACAUUCCAUUUCACUAAAUAUUGCUGAUUGUUCUUUAAAAUGACUAUAUCAAUUUAUAUUCCUAUCAGCAUCAUUGUUUAGCCACACACACCCCCACCAACAUUGAAGAAUAUCCAGCUUUUAACAAUAUCUACCUUUUUUUAAGUUUAUUUAUCUUGAGAGAAAGAGAGCAUAGGCAGGGAAGGGACAGAGAGAAAGGGAGAGGGAGAAUCCCAAGCAGGCUCCGUGCUGUCAGCGCAAAGCCCGAUGCAGGGCUCCGUCCCAAGAACUGUGAGAUCACGACUUGAACCGAGACCAAAAGUUGGACGCUUGACCAACUGAGCCACAAAGGCACCCCAACAAUAUCCACUUUUAACAAGCGGUAUCUCAAAGUAGCCUUGACUCUGUUUGUCUAGUUAUUAGUGAGUUUACGCAUAUGCUUCACACACUCAUCAUCUGGAUUUCCAUUUUUGUAAAUUGUCCAUUUGUAUCCGUGACUCCACUUCCCUUUGUGGUACAGCAUGUGUGCUUACAUAUGAUAGAUAUUCAUCAUUUAACAAAUGUAAAAAUGAAGAGUGUCAUUCCUAGUCAUUUAUUUGUUACUUUUGUCUGCGAUGGCCUUCACUGAAUUAAAGUCGUGAUAUAGUGAAAUCCAUUAAUGUAUCUUUUACAGUUUUAUACUUUGAUUCUUGGUGAAAAGCUGGAGUCAUAAAAUAUUUUCCUAUGCGCCCCUCGAUCACAUAGUCUUAACGUUCACAUUUUAGGCCUUCAAUCCAUCUGGAUUCAUUCUUUUACAUGAUGCAGAGUAGUUACCUACAAUAAACUGAUCUUCCCAGCACCAUUUAUAAAUGUUUAUUUAUUUUUAGGAGAGAGAGAAAGGGAGGGGCGGAGAGAGGGCGGGGGGAGACAGAGAAUCCCAAGCAGGAUCCAUGCUGAAAGCACAGAGCCCGACAUAGGGCUCGAACUCACGAACCGUGGGAUCAUCACCCGAGCGGAAAGCCAGAGUCAAAGGCUUAAUCGACUGAGCCACCCCGGCGUCCCUUCCUUCCCAGCAUCAUUUAUAAAGUACUUCAUUUCCUCACUGAUUCCACAGAUUCGUCAAAUCUGACAAAACUCUCAUAUAUCAAAUUCCCAUGUGCAUGGAUUAGUUUCUACUCUAAAUUAUUCCACUAAAUUUUAUAUAUCUGCAUUCUUUUCACGUUUUCUUUAUUCCUAUGGCUUUGUUCUAUGGUAGAAUAUCCAGUAUAGCUGCCUGCAUCCCACAUACCAGCACUCCUAUCCUUGCUUUUCUGUUUCCACAUUUGUUUUGUAUGUUGACAAUUUUUAAAAUUUGUUUAAAUCCUAUGUAUAAGGAUCAAGGUUUUCUAAAAAAAUUCCUUUCUGGGCUGUAAUGAAUUUAUAAGUUAACUUUAGACAAAUUAAUACCUUUAUAACACUCUCAUCUCUCCCAGAACAUAAUAAUAUCUCCAUUUAUGUAUAUGCAUGUGUAUGUAUACAUAUAUACGUGUGUGUGUUGUUCCCAAAGCCCUCUGACACAGUUUUAAAUUUCUCUUUGCGAAAGUUUUGUGCAUGCCUCAUAAAAUUAAUCCCUAAGUCAUCUGUGAAUUUUUUGCCACUUAAAAUGGUAUCUUAUUUACUAUUAUGUCUUCUAGUCUAUUAUUUCUGGGAUAAUGGACAAAUGUCGGCAACUGUAUAUAGACCUUGAAUCAAGCUAUCUGGUCAAAUGCCCACUCAUUUCGAUACUCUUAUCAGUUGAUUCUUUCAGAUUUUACAUGUGAUGUACACGGUAAAAAUAAAUGUUUUGUUUCUUGCCUUUUGUCUCUGA